UUAGGCACAGAGUAAUGGAAGCACCCCUGGUACAACAUUUUAUCGAGCAUCGUCAUGAAGAAAAUUCCUUUAAAGUAGCGGUACUGGAGGUUGUAACUAAGGGACAUGCAAAUCAAAUUAAGCUACUGAGGAGGGAAGCAUUUUGGAUUGUCUUUCUGCAGACGAUCAGACCGCACGGCCUCAAUACGGAACUAUCAUUGAAUUGUUUUUUAUAAUCAGUUAUGUUGCUUUAAAGUUUUGAGAUUGGAUAAUGAGUAUGUGAUUUAAACUGCAGUUGAAGGGUUUGGCCACAAGCAGGAGAAGAUACAGCUGCUGUGACUGUGAUACUGGAGACACACGUUUCCACAAUAAUUAUUGAUUCAAAUACCCUAUGCUGUGUGAAUACAACAGCUAUAAACCACGCCCCUGAAGAAGGGGACGAAAUCUGUUUGUAGCCGGCCCCAGAUUGGGCGUGGCAAUGUAUAUGAUAAGCUGUUUAGCUGAAUUUAUAUGAGAAGACUUUUGUGAUUAUAUUCCAAGCUGAAUGCAUAUGAGAAGCUGUUUGGCUGAAUUUAUAUGAGAAGACUUUGUGAAGACUCAUCUGCAUACCGUGAUAUUACUGCGAUUAAGGAAUACACAUUGAGGAAUACACACAGAUGAUAGACUCUCUGGACAUCUUUAUUGGCUAUAUAUAAACAGUUUGUAUAAUUUUCGUGCAAUUGCCUUUGAAAUUACCUUAUAAUAUCAUAUAAAAAGUAUAUUAAUUCUU